rnacentral:rRNA from 1 species
GCCUGCGGCCGAUUAGCUAGUUGGUGGGGUAGAGGCUUACCAAGGCGAUGAUCGGUAGCUGGUCUGAAGGACGGCCAGCCACACGGGACUGAGACACGGCCCCGACUCCUACGGGAGGCAGCAGCAAGGAAUUUUCCGCAAUGGGCGAAAGCCUGACGGAGCAACGCCGCGUGGGGGAGGACGCUUUUCGGAGUGUAAACCUCUUUUCUUGGGGACGGUACCCGAGGAAUAAGGACCGCUAACUACGUGCCAGCAGCCGCGGUAAUACGUAGUCCGAGCGUUGUCCGGAGUUACUGGGCGUAAGCGCGCGCAGCGGCUUCAUAAGUCUGGCGUGAAGCCCCCGGCUCAACCGGGGAGGUCGUCGGAGACUGUGGGCUUGAGGGCGGUAGGGGCGGUGGAAUCCCGGUGUAGUGUGAAAUGCGUAGAGAUCGGAAGGAACACCAGUGGAUCACAGUGAAUUCGC